rnacentral:snRNA from 1 species
UAAAUCAGAAAGAUACAGAGAAGAUUAGCAUGGCCCCUGUGCAAGGAUGGCACACAAAUUAGUAAAGCAUUCAAUAUUUAA